UAUUAUAUCAUCAUAACGGAACUAAAGCAUCAACGAAACCAUAGCUACAACAGAUUCUUCGGCAAAGUAAAACAUCCCCAAAAUUAGAAGACAACAUAAGAUAAUAAUCAACAAAUAAAAAAACAAAAAUCAAACCAAAACCUACUAAAAUAAACACAACCAGAACCCACUAAAACAAGACAUAAAGGCAAAUCGAAAAAACCAUCCGCGAAAGACUACCAGAAUUAGAACCCAUAACGAGACCCAGGUUCCGACAAGAACAAUUCAAGAUCUGGUGUAUGACGAAGAUAAACACAGUCGGAUCCGAAAAAACCAACUUCCAAAAUCCCCAAACACCAGCAACCAUCAAGAUUUGAACAUUAAAAAAUAAGCGAUAAUACAUAAAGCCAGGUCGGAAAACCAACGAAUAGACAAAACCAUCCGGGAAAUCACCGGAAAGAGAACCUAAAGCCAGUCCCAGGUUCUGGCAAAGAUCAAAUCAGCAUCUGGAGUAAGAAAACAACCAGAUCCGAACAGUCCCAACUUUCAAGAAUCCAACCCAACAGAUCAUUAAGAUUCGAAACCCUAAAGCCAUUUGCCCCAAGCAUACACCAUAUCAGAUCAUAACUCCCCAGACCAGAACCCACUAAAGUUUUUUUUAACCGGCAUGAUGUGAUAGACUCCACGGCACGCUUGCGUGAGGUGGUCGUCGUCCGGAUCGUUUCUAGCACAGUUAUUG
rnacentral:lncRNA from 1 species